UACGUAGGGGGCAAGCGUUGUCCGGAUUUAUUGGGCGUAAAGCGCUCGCAGGUGGUUCGAUGCGUCGUGCGUGAAAGCCUCCAGCUCAACUGGAGAACUGCCAUUGAUACUGGCGGGCUUGAGUACAGACGAGGUAGGCGGAAUUGAUUGUGUAGCGGUGAAAUGCAUAGAUACAAUCAAGAACACCGAUUGCGUAGGCAGCUUACUAGGCUGUAACUGACGCUGAGGCACGAAAGCGUGGGGAGCGAACAGG
rnacentral:rRNA from 1 species